rnacentral:ncRNA from 1 species
GUUUCCCUCAGGAUAGCUGGAGCCCAUUACGAGUUCUAUCAGGUAAAGCCAAUGAUUAGAGGCAUUGGGGACGCAACGUCCUCGACCUAUUCUCAAACUUUAAAUAGGUAGGAUGGCUCGGCUGCUUCGGCGGGCCGUGCCACGGAAUCGGGUGCUCCAAGAGGGCCAUUUUUGGUAAGCGGAACUGGCGAAGAGGGCGGACCCGGAACACGGGUUACGGAGGCGUACGACGCACAAAAAUAGGACACACGAUGUCAGUCGGAGGAUGA